GGCGUGGUGCCAGAGUGGUUAAUGGGUGAGACUCGAAUCCUGCUCCUGUCAAAAGGUAGCAGCGUAUAAGAUAUCUCAUGACUUCGGUCGCGCAAGUUCGAAUCUUGUCCACGUCG
rnacentral:tRNA from 1 species